AUAACAAUAUGGAACACUUUUGAGAUUGCGUAAUAUGUGCACACUAAAUCCUUUAAUGGGGAUUAAGUGGAGGGCGAGUCUGGUGCCAGUGGCCGUAGGAAUUUCAGCUCCAA
rnacentral:rRNA from 1 species